rnacentral:rRNA from 1 species
GGCACGCCUAACACAUGCAAGUCGAACGAAGUAGCAAUACUUAGUGGCAGACGGGUGAGUAACAUGUAGGUAUCUACCCUAUGGUUUGGAAUAACACGAGGAAACUUGUGCUAAUACCAAAUAAGUCUUUACGGAGAAAGCUUUAUGCGCCAUUGGAUGAGCCUGCAUUUGAUUAGUUUGUUGGUGGGGUAAUGGCCUACCAAGACAAUGAUCAAUAGCUGAUUUGAGAGGAUGAUCAGCCACAUUGGGACUGAGACACGGCCCAAACUCCUACGGGAGGCAGCAGUGGGGAAUCUUGCACAAUGGGGGAAACCCUGAUGCAGCGAUGCCGCGUGAGUGAAGAAGGCCUUUGGGUUGUAAAGCUCUUUCGUCGGGGAAGAAAAUGACUGUACCCGAAUAAGAAGGUCCGGCUAACUUCGUGCCAGCAGCCGCGGUAAUACGAAGGGACCUAGCGUAGUUCGGAAUUACUGGGCUUAAAGAGUUCGUAGGUGGUUAAAAAAGUUGGUGGUGAAAUCCCAGAGCUUAACUCUGGAACUGCCAUCAAAACUUUUUAGCUAGAGUAUGAUAGAGGAAAGUAGAAUUUCUAGUGUAGAGGUGAAAUUCGUAGAUAUUAGAAAGAAUACCAAUUGCGAAGGCAGCUUUCUGGAUCAUUACUGACACUGAGGAACGAAAGCAUGGGUAGCGAAGAGGAUUAGAUACCCUCGUAGUCCAUGCCGUAAACGAUGUGUGUUAGACGUUGGAAAUUUAUUUUCAGUGUCGCAGCGAAAGCAGUAAACACACCGCCUGGGGAGU